GGACAGAUGGGAGCUUGCUCCCUGAUGUUAGCGGCGGACGGGUGAGUAACACGUGGGUAACCUGCCUGUAAGACUGGGAUAACUCCGGGAAACCGGGGCUAAUACCGGAUGGUUGUUUGAACCGCAUGGUUCAAACAUAAAAGGUGGCUUCGGCUACCACUUACAGAUGGACCCGCGGCGCAUUAGCUAGUUGGUGAGGUAACGGCUCACCAAGGCAACGAUGCGUAGCCGACCUGAGAGGGUGAUCGGCCACACUGGGACUGAGACACGGCCCAGACUCCUACGGGAGGCAGCAGUAGGGAAUCUUCCGCAAUGGACGAAAGUCUGACGGAGCAACGCCGCGUGAGUGAUGAAGGUUUUCGGAUCGUAAAGCUCUGUUGUUAGGGAAGAACAAGUACCGUUCGAAUAGGGCGGUACCUUGACGGUACCUAACCAGAAAGCCACGGCUAACUACGUGCCAGCAGCCGCGGUAAUACGUAGGUGGCAAGCGUUGUCCGGAAUUAUUGGGCGUAAAGGGCUCGCAGGCGGUUUCUUAAGUCUGAUGUGAAAGCCCCCGGCUCAACCGGGGAGGGUCAUUGGAAACUGGGGAACUUGAGUGCAGAAGAGGAGAGUGGAAUUCCACGUGUAGCGGUGAAAUGCGUAGAGAUGUGGAGGAACACCAGUGGCGAAGGCGACUCUCUGGUCUGUAACUGACGCUGAGGAGCGAAAGCGUGGGGAGCGAACAGGAUUAGAUACCCUGGUAGUCCACGCCGUACACGAUGAGUGCUAAGUGUUAGGGGGUUUCCGCCCCUUUAGUGCUGCAGCUAACGCAUUAAGCACUCCGCCUGGGGGAGUACGGGUCGCAAGACUGAAACUCAA
rnacentral:rRNA from 1 species